AUUAGACACUCCAGACAUCUUAUACAGCCCCUGUAUCACAACGCUCGUGAGGUUUCUCAUCAAGCUAACAAGCAAAUUACCCGUGACAGUCCUGGCCAAACUCCUGAUAAAGGGGCUUUACGAAUUUGUGCCUCGAGGCGAAGGGAUGAAUAUUGUUGUUUUAAGUUGCAGAUAUGAGAUGGAGGGUACUCAGAGGCAUAUAAUGGUCAGUGCACGCAGUAUUGCAGUUCUUUACCUGCUAGUACUCUUAAAUCAGACAAGUGAGAAAGAUGGAUGCUAGCUCCAGAAGAUAAUUGCAAGCUCACCAGGAAACAAAUUGUCUGAGAGUUUGUGCUCUGAUCAUGUCGUCUUCACGUGUUUUGUACAGAGAGAUAGCCCUAUUCAGCAAAGAAUCAGAGGAGCUUAAGGCACCUGGUAUCUUGCAAAACAAGCCAAAAACCCAUGUGUUCUCAAAGCAUACAUCAGCUUCCAUAUGUAACUCAGUGAAUUGUCUUGUUUUUCUUACUUUGGAAGAAUUAAUCAUUUUUGCAUUUGUGAAAUCUCAAUUCUUAUCAGAGUAACAUAUCCCAUAAUUUACUCUGAUUGAUCUUACUAAUUCACUUAGCCAUUCCAACUGCUUGGCUGUUGCCCAGCUUCACAGGUUUGCUGUAACAGAAAAUACCAGGGUACUGUGAGCCAACUUACUCUCUUUUUUUAACUUUCUUUUUAUGUGAAUAAAAUUCCCAAAGACUUGUAGUUAAUAUGUGCUGGAAAUAAAGCCUGAAUAAAUACAGAACAAGGACUGUGGGUACUGACUUGGCCACUGACAAGCAUUUAAACAUAUUUCUUGCACUCGAAAAGACCACUUUCUUUUUAUAUAAGUUUCUCUAACAAAUUGCUUUAGCAGCUGAGAAACCUGCACAACUGAUGAUGUGUUCUGCUGUUGCUGGUGCCAUAUCUCACAGCAAGUGCAAGCUUUUGAAGGUGUUUAUAAAGGGCUCUACUUCUCUAGCACAAUGCUUUACAUCUAAAUAUCACGGCUGGCUGACAUCUGAUAGGCACUGGCCCACAGCAUGCAGCUUUCUGUCAGAAAUGCAAACCCUGCUCCCCUCACUGCAGCAAAUUGGAGUAGAGGUGUGCAGGGUGUGACAGGCGGGGCAUCAGGAGGAGAGUGGUGUGUGGCACAGCUCUCCUGCCCUCCCCAGGACAGGCUACUUCUGCAAAAAUAUCCUGUAAGGUGCCUUGUCUCCAAGCUACUACAUAAAGAAAUUGAAGUCCUAAAUAAAUUAAAUGCUCUAACCACCCUUAGCACUGUGAGGUGACUUCUCUCUGCAGCCUCUCCACCGGGCUUGGCAGAGCCUGCUCUGCCUGUGCCAGGGCUGAACCUGGCCCAGCAUUGCUGCACAAGCCUUAUGUAAAGUCCCCUUUGCAUUUCCACAGAGCUGCAAGAAUGGUUGUUCAUCACUUGGAGAUGUUUUAUGUUCUUUCUGGGGAGUGAAAUGCUUCUGACUUCCAGAGAAACAUGUACCUGUGCAGCCCCUGGGUGAGCCAAACUACUGCCUUUUGAUCCUGAGAAAGUUUUCAAGGACAAAGAGAACUGUUGAAGGCAGCGUGGUGCUCAUGCAACUUUUUGUCUCUGCUAAUGUCAACUUUGUAUUCAUUAUAAUCAGUCAGUGUGAAGGUCUCUGUUGAUAUGUGUCAGAGAGACAGCUUACUCCAUGCCUCUGUCCCACUGGCUUCGAAAUCACUUUCCUAGUAAUCGCAUUUGAAAGGGCGGUCAUUUUUGCCUAAAA